UUCAUGAAGAAUUCUUCCCUACUGCACAUCAAAGGUUAGCACUUGAAACUUUGACAGCCAAAGGAGAGAAUAUCCCAUGGUGCAUUCCAGUCAAGUAAUACAAAUAGGAAUUAGUGGGAAGAUAAUGUAGGAGGUGGAGGAAAAUUGAGAGAAUUUAUAUGGACCUUUACCACGAAACAAAAUACUUGAGGUUGGGGAAUACAAAAAGAAAAGAGCUUCAUUUAUUCUCACAAGUUUCGAAGCUGUCAGCUCAAGACAGGACAGUCUUGUCUGUUCAGCCUCUGCUGUGGGCGACAUGGCAGAGGGCAUCACAAUGGUCAGAACUCAUGAAGAGGAGCUCACACAAUGAGACUGGAAGCCAGAAACAGAGAGGCACCUGACUCACCCUUUUAUAACAUCCAACUCUGAAGACAAGUAAUUGGGUCCUUUACCUCUUCUGAGGACAGUACCCCCAAUGAUCUCCCACUAAGCCCUGCCUCUUGAGGUUCCUAGCAUCAUACUGAGCACCAGAUUUUCAACACACAAACCUUUGGAAUACUAUGUCCAAAGCAAAGAGAGCUGGCUUUGGGGAGGAGGAGUAAUGCAGAACCCACUGACACCUCUUCCAUGUGAACUAAGCUGACUGAGGAGCCCGAGCCCAGGAAGGUGAACCCAGGAAGGAAGGUGAACCCAGGGAGGAAAGUGAACCCAGGAAGGAAGGUGAACCCAGGAAGGAAGACUGCCAAACUCACUGAGCUGCUCUGACUUCAGCAGUCAAGAGAGGGUCAUUAGAAUUGACUCAACAGCAGAAGACCAGUGAUCGCAGAAGUGGAACACCAGUAAGGUGCACCUUGCAAACUACAGCCAGGGGACACACUAAUACCUGGAACUUCUCUACCUAACCCUGUGGGGACUCAGCUUAGAGGUGGAUUGCUGCAGGGAGGUCAUGAGAAGGGCCGAGUGAACUUUCAUCAUGGAGCUCACCGGUGGGACUCUACUUCCCAGCAUGAGGCAUAGGCUUAUUUGCUUCAGGAAGAAAUAAUAAGAAAUUUGUCCUUUGAUGUCAGGAAGAGAUAAGGAAAAAGAAAACUAAGAAAGAAAGAGAGAAGAAGAAAAUGGACUAAAGCUGAUAGUAGUAACUUACAAGUUGCUACAAUUUAGUUCAUGAUCUCGCUUUGAAAACCACUGCUGGAGUCUUGAUUUGCACUGUUACAUUAAUUCCUCACAAAAUCCCCACGUCUUAGAUGUUAUUAUCUUGUUUGGCUGAUGAGGGCGUCCAACCCACAGAGGUGGGAAACUGUUCCCACACCACACAAAACUCCACUUUGCCUAACUCCGCAAUACCCUUGAAACUUUCCUCUGACACUAGAUUCUCAAAAUAUUUCAGAGAAACCUCCAACAGGUCAUUGAAUGCAGAGAACUACAGCAACAACCAUCAGGACUAAUUUUAGUUUAUUUCCUGAGAAGAAGACUGAACACUUUCUUUGUCCUGGAAGCUUACAGACAAAAGUCAAUCUUCUUGUGAUAGCUAGUGAGCCACUCAGGGAGACAAGAAAGGCUCAGAGUGUGAGGAAAUUUCUAGUGGAAAGGUCUGACACCACUACCUGGCCUGGUCAUUGACUAAGAGCAUGCUUGAGUUCAGUAACUAUUCCAGUAGCUUGGUAAGAUCUAAAAAAGAAGAAUAAAAGCAAUGGGUACACCUGAA